rnacentral:rRNA from 1 species
AAUGUACGCUGGCGGCACGCCUAACACAUGCAAGUCGAACGAGGUAGCAAUACCUAGCGGCAAACGGGUGAGUAACACGUGGGAAUGUACCUUUUGGUUUGGGAUAGCCCUUGGAAACGAGGAUUAAUACCGGAUAAGCUCUACGGAGGAAAGAUUUAUCGCCGAAAGAUCAGCCCGCGCAUUAUUAGCUAGUUGGUGGGGUAAUGGCCCACCAAGGCAACGAUAAUUAGCUGGUUUGAGAGGAUGAUCAGCCACAUUGGGACUGAGAUACGGCCCAGACUCCUACGGGAGGCAGCAGUGAGGAAUAUUGCACAAUGGACGAAAGUCUGAUGCAGCCAUGCCGCGUGAGUGAUGAAGGCCCUAGGGUUGUAAAACUCUUUCAGAUGGGAAGAUAAUGACGGUACCAUCAAAAGAAGCACCGGCUAACUCCG